rnacentral:rRNA from 1 species
GAUGAACGCUGGCGGCGUGCUAACCCCUGCAAGUCGAACGGAAAGGCCAGUGCUUGCACUGGUACUCGCGUGGCGAACGGGUGAGUAACACGUGGGUGAUCUGCCCUGUACUUCGGGAUAAGCUUGGGAAACUGGGUCUAAUACCGGAUAGGACAACUUUUUGGAUAUUGUUGUGGAAAGCUUUUGCGGUAUGGGAUGAGCUCGCGGCCUAUCAGCUUGUUGGUGGGGUAAUGGCCUACCAAGGCGUCGACGGGUAGCCGGCCUGAGAGGGUGUACGGCCACAUUGGGACUGAGAUACGGCCCAGACUCCUACGGGAGGCAGCAGUGGGGAAUAUUGCACAAUGGGCGCAAGCCUGAUGCAGCGACGCCGCGUGGGGGAUGAAGGCCUUCGGGUUGUAAACUCCUUUCGCUAGGGACGAAGCUUUUUUGUGACGGUACCUGGAGAAGAAGCACCGGCUAACUACGUG